rnacentral:rRNA from 1 species
GACGAACGCUGGCGGCGCGCUUACCACAUGCAAGUCGAGCGAAGCGGCGGACGGGUGAGUAACACGUGAGUAACCUGCCUUAGGCAUUGGGAUAGAUUCGGGAAACCGGGAUUAAUACCAAAUGGUCUAAGAUGGACUCGCGUCCCUGUAGCUAGUUGGGAGGUAACGGCCCACAACGGCGACGCUGGGUAGCCGGCGUGCGAGGGUGAAAGGCCACAGUGGAACGGAGGAACGGUCGAAACUCUCCUGGAGGCAGCAGGGGUGAAUAUUGGAUAAUGUAGGGACCUUUGAUGCAGGGACGCCGCGCGAACGAAGAAGCCUGUAGAGUCGUAAAGUUCUUGUAAACGGGAACCGGUAUUAUAAGAAAGAGCCCCGGCUAACUACGUGCCAGCCACCGCGGUAAUAC